UUGCAUAGUCUGGCUUUAUGCAUAUACUAUGCAAAUCUGUCUGGAUACACCUUUACUGACAGUGCAUUUUAGAACAGACUCAUUACAGUAUGCCUUGUAACGUAUCGUAUUCACGGAUUUCUUUUGUUCCUGCUUUGGGAAUCGUUUGAAAUUGUCAAAGGUUUUCAUUGCCAGGUUAGCUUCAUGCUGAAAUGUGGCGAUGAUGCAUCCGAACAUCUUAACAUUAGCGAUAAACUGGAUAUCGGCCGGUUUGUUCUUCCUGUCGUCAUCGAGUAUCUCGACUGCUUUCGAGCGGGCCCGUCUUGAACGUUGUAGCAAGGCCUCUCUUUUUCUCUCUUGACACGUAAAGGACCUUUAGUCUUUACUUCUUUAAACGCCGUGAUAGAGUGGCUGCGAGGAAGGGGGACGGCUCUCGACCGGUAGCGAAAGAGACGCGAGGCCUCGCAGAAGGGGACGUUGGGGAGUUCACCUUUAUAUCGUGGUACGAGGGCCACUCGAGAGGCCAGGAAGCGUCGAGAAUACUGAAUGCUAGAAAGUGUACUUACGGUUCGAGCCUUUCGCCGCCGACAAUGCUUCAAGGCUGCUAGUUCUCCGACACCCGGCACCACACCGACCCCCAUGCCGGCGC